UACGUAGGGGGCAAGCGUUGUCCGGAAUCAUUGGGCGUAAAGAGCGUGUAGGCGGCCUGAUAAGUCGGUUGUGAAAGUCAAGGGCUCAACCCUUGAAUGCCGACCGAUACUGUCAGGCUAGAGUCCGGAAGAGGCGAGUGGAAUUCCUGGUGUAGCGGUGAAAUGCGCAGAUAUCAGGAGGAACACCGGUGGCGAAGGCGGAUCUCUGGGCCAUUACUGACGCUGAGGAGCGAAAGCGUGGGGGAGCAAAACAGG
rnacentral:rRNA from 1 species